CACUACCCACCAUUCCAACACCGGACCCAACCAUCGAUGCUGCUCCAUCUACGGCAUCCAUUGUACUUCCUAUAACUCCCUCCUCUUUAAGUUUCUUCCUUUCUUCUAAAAUCUUCUUCUCUGCCUCUAGGGCAACCAAUUGUUCUUUCUUGUCAAAUUCGUGAUAAAAGAUCUGGAAUUCCAAUGAGAUUGUGAUUUUUAAUUUAAUCCAGAGAACAUCUAUACAACUAUAUCAAAAAUAGCUCCAGAAAUUAUGCACUAAUGUUAUCACUGCCAAAAGAAAACAAUUCAAUGCAUGUCUAAUUAUACCUUCAUUGUCAAGGUUCCUCGAUCCUUUUUGUCUUUCACUUUCAGUGUAUCAAGUGAUGGCAGCAGCCUCACCUGAAACUCCUUUUCAGUUUCUGCUUUCAGGCCAAUAAGUGGUAAUUUUGCUACUCCCAAUCGCUUAUCUUGCCCAAUGUCCUUAUCAAAAACCUAUAUUCAGAGCCAUCAAUGAAAAACAUUUAUGAUAAAUCAUGACAACAAAAGAAUUUAAUAGGGAUUAUGCAGUUGGGAAGAGAACUUCAAGAUUUCAAACCAAAAAAUUAUCAGGUGUAGCUAGUCAAAACAGAUUAAGGUUUGGAUAAUUUCAUCCAUAAGCACUUACAGGAAAGUGAAUAAGGUAAAAUGGAAUAGAUUACUCCCAGAAGUUAAAAUUAGUCCAUACAUAUGUUAAUUUGUAAAAUUUCUUUCAAUUAGUUUUGUAAAAGUUAUUUUUAACUCAUGCAUAAACUAAUUUUAAUUUAUGGAAGAAGAUUAUUUCAUUUUACCUUCUAAUUUUCUUCUCCUAUGAAGGCCUGUGGAGAAAUUUAUCCAGAAAGAGCCUAAUAAACCUUCACGGGGAGAAGAUAAAGUAACAACUAUGAUCAAGAUAAAGAAAGGAAUCUAACAUGAAUUUUCUAAGAAGCAGUUACAUGAGAAACCUUGCACUUCAGCAAGUAAAUUGUAUAUACACAAAGAUGUAAAAUUGCCGCCAGCUUUGAUGUCAGAAAGUUUAAUGGGAAAAUCACAAAUCAAGAGUUCAGGAUAGGCCAAUUACAUCUAAGUUCUUUUUAGUAGUUCACUUUGAGUUCUUAUAUGGUAUCUCUAACUACUGGGUACUCCAUCUAAUUAACUCCUUACAAUUGGACAUCUACAAGUCUUACUCUCACAUGGCCAAACUCUUAGAAUUUAAGCUUGGGUUAAUUCAACUCUGCAACUAGUUUUUAAGGUAAGGAUUACCCAAGCUUUAUAUGUUUUAUUUAAGUCAUAUCUAUAGUUGAGGCUCUAAUAUAUCAUAGAACUUUGGCCUAGGCUUUAACUCACACAAAUUCAACUUAUAAGAUUAGAAUUACCCAAAAUUUAUGUUAUAUUUAAGUCAAAUUUCGAGUCAAUGUGGGCUAAAUACCACCCGUGAAGCUUCAAUUAAGGUAGCCCCCAAACAAACUGCAACUAAGGCAGGCUAGGAAUGACUGCAUUAAGGCAAUUUUCCAAAAACAAACCCUUAUGAAUGCAAUUCUACCAAGUUUUUCUUUCAUGGUUGCUACUCCUACCUUCUCUAAUAUAUUUAUUCACGAUCUUAUUUUUUUCUUCUAAGUUCAUUUCCUCCUUGCAACAUUCUUAGCUUUAUAACACUUGUUGGCUCUUGAUUUCCCAACUUUCAGAAUCAUGAAGCAUCAUUAGUAACAAUUUCCCUAAGAUUGAGUAGCACGUUUCAAUAAAAAAUAUCCACCAUUUCAUUGACCUUGCAAAAACCCUAAGACAUAUAUCUGCCUCAAUCUCUUCACCAUUUCAUGUGUGAAAUUCAAAUUUUUAGUAUAGCAAUCAUGAGGUCAUAUCAUGGGUAGCUUGCAAGUAUCUCAACCAAGGAUUAAAUAAAUAACAGUUAUAACAGAAAAAGGAUUAGUUGUGCUAAACCUCAACAAUUAGUGACUGUGUCUCCUUGUCCUCGGCAAUCAAGUCAAAAACCUCAUUCCAAACAGGGUUCAAGUUGUUAUCAAUGGCCUUUGUUUUAACCUUAAACAGUGGCCGAAUAUGCAACACUGCAUAAGGAUCGGACUUCCCAAUCAUUUCCAUAUUCUUUAGAUCAUUGGCUUUCAUUACUUUCACUCUAAGUGUUCCCUGGGGUUUAAGCUCCAGGUCACUGCAAAAAUAAAGGUGCUUAAGUAGUAUAAAAUAUUUGAGCAUUACCAUUUUAAAUUUGCAUGUUCCUAAAUACCACUUUUUUUUCUUUUCAAGGGGGGUGGAGGAAACAGAAAAUGAAAUCGAAGCUCUUUGCUAGAGGAAUAUUUCUACACAAUUCAAACAAUUUGAAAAUAUAUUUACCAGAUAUAUAGUUAAACCACAUGCUCCAACAUUCAUGCAGAUGAAUAUAAUAAACAAAAAUAAAAUCCAUAAGAUUCACAUUACCUAGUAUCAACAGGUAUACCCCCUAGAGGAACAACAAUCCUAUGAGGCCAUUGGAGCAUGUCGGUAACAAUUGAGUUCACAGUAUCCUAUUGGAAAUUGUGUAUUAUAAGUAAUUAAUUCAAAAUCAGUAAAAGGUGGAAGGGGCAUGUUCGUAAAAUAGAACUCACAUCAAUCAUAUCUGAAAUUCCAGGAAGGGCUGUCAAACUUCCACCAACAGCCUUCAACGUGUAAUCAAUUCUAGGCUUUGGCUGAUAAAAUGUUAAUGAAAAAGUCAGUAACUUCAAAACUGUAAAUGAUAUUAGCAUCCCAAUUAUCAUGUAGUAGGCUAUGCUGAUAACAGUAGUCCAAGAAUUCAAUUAGAUCAUUGACAAAGGUUGUCAAAUUAGAACUCUUAGUAUGAACAAUUGUAUCAGUCCACAUCAUUCACAAGCUACAGCUGGUGAUGAUGGCUCUACCAUCAUGACACUGAGAUCAAAUUGUUAAGACCAUUGAUGCUGAUAGUUAAUGUGAUCAACAUAUGUGAUUACUAUAAAGGGAUUUAUUAUCCAGAUUUUUCAGAUUUUGGUUUAACCAACUAAAGGUGAUAUCAAAUGAAAACUUGCAUAUCCAACUUCAAGUCAAUAUUAUUUGCUUGAUUUGAAGGAGAGCACGCAAAGGGAGGUUGCAAAACUCAAUCGAGUGCAUCAUCAUCCCCCCUCCACUCUCCAAACUCUCUUUUUUUUUCAUUUUUGAACCUCAAAAGUUACCUCAGCAAGUAGGGCAACAACAACAGCAGAAACGCACGGAAUCUCAUCCGCAAGUUGCAAUAUAACACGGAUGAUGGUGAACACCUGAAGAUCCUUCAACUGAAGCAAAAAACAACACUCAAAAUUUUGAAAGUUUCUCAUACGAAAGUGAAAUUCAACAAACACUGCUGAGUCUAACCUGAAUAGGAAUUGAUGCAACAAGUGCAGCUUCAACAGCCAAAACAAUAUUGGGAUCACCACCCCAACGGAAAUCGAUGUCCAUAAUUAUUUGACCUUUUUUAAGAUUCUGAACACGAAUACCUGCAUGGAUAAAGAAAAUAUGAAUACAUUAAUUCUCAAAAUAAAAAAUAAUAAUUCAACAGAAAAAUUUAAAGGGAGAAACAAUAAGGGUGAUACAAAUUUGUGUUUUGUAGCAUUUUGUUAUGGUGUUAUUGACCUGCACUCAUCUUUUCAUCUAAGUUUGAUUUUCAAUACUUGUUAAAUCUUGAAUCUCAUAAUUAUUGAUUUUGAAAAGAUACAAUAGGCUGGAUUGUAUUGCUUUUGGAUAGAAAUUGCCACAGACUGAGACACAUAAGAAUGGACUCAAAUUGCACAAUGAUAUUGUCGGAUUCUAGAUUUUGCAUCAUUAACAUAAAUUUUUGGAUGGCCAGCUUUUGGAAAAGGUAUAAAAAAUUACAUAUGAAGCAGCCUAAAAGAAAUAUUAGCAAAAUAGAAUGGCAAAUACGCUCAUUGUCUUGUACAUUUAAGUGCAGUAGUAAACUUAGCACAGAAAAAACAAAGAGGAAUUACAGUAGACAGAAACCUUCAACUUUUGGAGCAACAAUUCCAAGGGAGAGCUUGCUGAACUUUAAUGAAGUAAUUCCAGGAGGUCUGUACUCUUCCAACAGUGGUUCAACUGACUCUCUUAUCACCAAUGUUGCUGCCUAAAAGUAAACAUAAUCCAGAUAAAGAUAAAGUCAGCAAUUUAAGCAAUGCAGGGUGCAUGUUGUAGGCAAACAAUUUCACUUGAUAAAUCCUAAUAAUUUGAAGAUGUGGAUACAAAACUAACUAAAUACCAAAGGACAUCCAAGGUUUCCACGGUUUUGAUUUUUUGAGUUCUAUAUUGUAUGAGUUCUCAAUGAAGAAUUCUGAAUUUAGUUCCCUAUAAUAAUCAGAUCCAAUAUAGACUUUCAAAACAAUAUAGUGUCAUUCAAUAGUAAAUAAACAACCUUAUCAAAAUAUAGUUAAAAAACAACAAACUGCUGUAGAUUAUCAUACAAACAUUUUUUUUAUCCGCAAUCAUAUAAUAUGCAAGCAAGUAUACUCACAUCUGCAACAAAUGGCCAAAGUUUGGAUAGCUGCUUGUUUAGCCAUUUCACCUGAAAAUGCCCAUGUAAAGAAGAUCAUACACAGAGCACAACAUGCAUAGUAUAUCAAUUGGGAACAAGGUAGUGUUUCUAUAUUUUGACUUUGCAGCUAUAUUUGAUGUUUUGCCGAUAAUAUAUACCAUAUUAACUGGAAUAAUAGGAGAGCCGUGUCAAAUCAUUUCAGUAAAAAGCUAUGUAACCACAAUAGACGUUAUCUCACCUGCUCAUAUACAGGAAAAGAUAUCCAAUCAGGAAAAUUAUCUCCACAAAUUUUCUUUAAAUCAUCUCUGUUGAGGGACCCAAGGAGUUUAAUAUCAACUGCCUGUAGAGAAAAAUGAAGAAUGUUAGUAUAAGGGAAUUAUAUAUAUACACAAACAAUCACCGAAGAAUGUUAGUAUAAGGAAAUUAUAUAUAUACACACAAUCACACGCACAAACACAGAUUAAAACAUAUUUUGUUGUUAUAUAAAAAUGUGCUCAUUAAAAAAGGAUCCUCAAAUGCCUUUCUUUUUAUUUUCCUGUUUAUACCCUUAUUUUCCUUGUCUUCUGCCAAUGCAGUGGUUUAAUCAGUAUAGAAUCCAGGAUCCAGACUCCAGGCUGAAGUCUACAGGCACACCAUACUGACAUAUGACUGAUUAAGUUGUCACUGAUGACGUAGAGAUUACUGUUUUAACUUUUCCCAUCACACCCCAUUUAUAACAUCAGGUAAGAGAUAGCACUGAAGUAUCACAGAAAGGUACACUUAUGCUCUUACAGUAU
rnacentral:lncRNA from 1 species